AUUAGUUUACUAUUGGAGCGGUUAGUGGCGGACUGGUGAGUAACACGUAAGCAACCUGCCUAUUAGAGGGGAACAACAGUUAGAAAUGACUGCUAAUACCGCAUAUGCCUAAGUACCACAUGGUGCAAUAGGGAAAGGAGUAAUCCGCUGAUAGAUGGGCUUGCGUCUGAUUAGAUAGUUGGUGGGGUAAUGGCCUACCAAGUCGACGAUCAGUAGCCGGACUGAGAGGUUGAACGGCCACAUUGGGACUGAGAUACGGCCCAGACUCC
rnacentral:rRNA from 1 species